rnacentral:rRNA from 1 species
AAUCCUACGGGAGGCAGCAGUGAGGAAUAUUGGUCAAUGGGCGAGAGCCUGAACCAGCCAAGUCGCGUGAGGGAGUACUGCCCUAUGGGUUGUAAACCUCUUUUGUCGGGGAGCAAAAGCCGGACGUGUCCGGCUGUGAGAGUACCCGAAGAAAAAGCAUCGGCUAACUCCGUGCCAGCAGCCGCGGUAAUACGGAGGAUGCGAGCGUUAUCCGGAUUUAUUGGGUUUAAAGGGUGCGUAGGCGGGACCUUAAGUCAGCGGUAAAAUUGCGGUGCUCAACGCCGUAGAGCCGUUGAAACUGGGGU